ensembl:lncRNA
CCUCUCUCUCUCUCUCUCUCUCCCCAUCCAUCUGUGUCUCUUACUCCUGCACUCUUACUGUCUUCUCUGUUUCACCACAAAGAGCGAGAUGAUCGGAGGAGUGGAGUUUCAGUGAACAGACCGAAGCAAUGGAGAGAUGCUCCAUCUCUCCUGUCAAACGACUGACUGCCCAUCGCUGCCUCCUCACCCUGCUCCUUGUCGCCGCAGCGGCGCCUCCAUCCAGCGGUAACCGUGACGACACGAACCGCGUGGGUGCAGGCGACGAGCGAGCGGACGCCCUCUAUGUACCCGGCCUGUCCGUCACUGCCCAGGCCACGCCCACUCCCCUCUGGGCUGUGGUGUGGGGCCCCACGCACCCGCCGGAGGACGAGACGCAUCACUUCCUGUCCAGCCAGGACCCCGACCUCCUGCACCAGCCCGGGGACCCGAGGGCCGGCGGCGGCAGCACCACGGCCACCGCCCAGUUCUGGCCCUUCCCCCAGGACGUGGUCAGCAGCAGCCAGACCCGGGGGGAGCCCGCCCUGGAGGCCCGGCACCCCGGGGGCCCCGACGCCGGGGGGGCGCAGGCGGAGGAGCGGGAGGCGGAGGAAGUGGACCCUCAGUUCUACGUCACAGUGACCAUCUCUUCGCUGCUUAUCUUCACGGCAGUCGUCAUAACCGCCAAACUAUGUUACGACCGCAGCUGCUCCCAGCAUCCGCCCCCGCUCUCCCGCGCCGCGGCCCCUCCCCUCACCCUGGCGCUCCCUCGCUCCCUGGCUCCCGAGGACAGCCGGCAGACCCUCCACAGCCCCCCCUUCACCGACCGCGAGAGGAUCCCCGUCGUAAACCUCUGAGGUGACUGUUCUUCCCCCCCCCAUUUGAUAAACACUUCUGUGGAGCCUGCGGAGAGCUAUCAACAAGACCAGAGGUUGUGCCCGUGGCGCCAUUUUGUUCUUCCUUGAGACUGUGAAAUGAAAUCAGGGAUUCCAGGUGCCCAAUUGUUGCGAAGCAUCCCGGCUUUUCCCUGAGGUGUUAAAGAAAAAAAAAAAAAGAGACAAGCUCAUCUUCCUGCUCCUCGCUUUCUUCCUUCCACUCCCCGGCUCGCCCUGGCUCUCCGGCGCUGGGUGUGAAUCUCUCUCGUCCCCCCCCCUUGGUUUUAAUGCCUCUGUAGCAGGAUCACUGGCUCCUAGCCGCUACUGCCGCGAGCUGCACCUGACCAACCAACUGCUUCAAACCGCCGUGGCUAAUUCAAAAACAAGCCUGUCGUCUCCCACCCUCCAAGGCGACACCUUGCCCCAGCUUCCACGUUUGCGGGGGAUACAAUUGCACAUCUGUCGUCUCUGCCCCGCAAAAAACAAAAAUAAAGACGCUAGAGCCGUUGAAUCCAGCAAAUCCCAGCUUUCUUUUUGGAUGAAGCCGCACAUUACAAACGCGCAGUAGUGAUGGAUAUUGUCGGUUGGUAAACGGUUAAUGAAAGCCAUUCUCUGGCAUUCUCCUAAGACUGAAGAGGGAGGGGGAAUGGUUUAUCACAAAGCUGUAGCCGGCAGGCAACGUGUUUACCAUGUCACGCUCCAGAAACCGCUGUUCAUUCCUGCUUUGGGCGCCGCGAAAAAAAUUCAAAUACCACGGCUUUCCCCCCCUCCACAACCACGUUGGCAAAGAGAAGGCCGUUUUGUCUCGCAGGUUAUUUUUUUCCCCUUCAUGAUUUGUUCUCUUAAUUAUCUGGAUGAUGUAGUGUCAUGUUUUUGUUGGGCCUUCGCGGGCAUCCUGGUCUCUGCUGGACCCACGAGGACGGGUUCUUCAACACAGUAUUUCUUCCAGAGGUGGUGGGGUUAUCAGACGAUACACACACACAUACACACACAGAAAGGGCAUUGCUGUUACAAUCAAUAUUUUAAAGCUGGUACAAGUCUGGUUUAUAUGGUGUUGCCGUGAAAAGUAUAUAAAUGUCAUUACGUAGAGAAUCGAACUAUAAAUAAAGAUGAGUCAAACGUGUCGCCGAGUAUUGCAAACUGAUGUUAAACAUUUUAGCUAUCUCAGUUCACUGAACUGUUCAAAUAAUGACAUCAUGGUGAUUGCCAUCAUCAUCAGUACCAAUCAUCCAAUGGCUGCCGAUCUGGGUGAGAUGAUCGAUGACAGAUUUGCAGUGCACAUGAAGGAACGCCACUUCCAGCCCUGUAGGCCUACAAGGGUUUUGCAUGUGUACGGUAAAACAACAACUAUAUAUCAACAUUGCAUUUGCAUAGAGUAAACGUAUGAAUACAUGUAUGUUUUUAUAUAUCAGUGAGUACUAUCUUCCGGAAUACUUCAACAACCAAAUUAGUUUGGUUCUUAUUUUUUUCGAAGCAGCUCUGAGGAAAUACCUCUCACUCCACCUCUCUCGACAAUUUUUUAACAAAACCUCUAACACAAACACAUAGUGCUGGUCAUCACGUUGCGAGUCUUUCAGUAAACCAGUGUCUUGUGGUUUUUAGUAGCAUUCCUGUAGGCAUCCAGCCUUUCUGUACUGUUAAAAAUCAACAAUAAAAAGGCAUAACUCUUGU